GACGUAGGGCGCGAGCGUUGUCCGGAUUUAUUGGGCGUAAAGAGCUCGUAGGCGGCUUGUCGCGUCGAAUGUGAAAUCUCGGGGCUCAACUCCGAGCUUGCAUUCGAUACGGGCAGGCUAGAGUUCGGUAGGGGAGACUGGAAUUCCUGGUGUAGCGGUGAAAUGCGCAGAUAUCAGGAGGAACACCGGUGGCGAAGGCGGGUCUCUGGGCCGAUACUGACGCUGAGGAGCGAAAGCGUGGGGAGCGAACAGG
rnacentral:rRNA from 2 species